GCGACCUUGAAAAGAUUGAUGACAAGUGUUAUAAAAUGAUGUUGUAUGUUGCAUAACGGAAUCAGCUCUUGCAGCGGGAGAGGACAAUACACAGGACACAUGAGGUGUUUUUACAGUGGUGGACUUCUCUUCAGGAAGGUCGUAACAAAGUAUGAUACUGGCGCAUGCGUAAUGGCAGCUGCUGUUUUUGCUGGUGUUGCAAUGGCUUGUGGGAGUCUGGCAGGUGACAUUGGCACAGUUAUAGCCUUUGUAGGAGUUGUUACGGCUUUAUUUGCAAGUGUUAAUAUCCUCGUUUCAUCAAUGGUUAUCAACUGGACGUUUGUUAAUAACAAUAAAUUUGCUCUUGGUGUUCUGACAUUAGGCUCUACAAUUGGACAGACUGCAAUGCCAUACAUUGCUGAUGCCUAACUGAAGCAUAUUCGUGGAGCGGAUGUUUGAUAAUUUUGAGUGCUCUAGCAUAUCUAAACUGCAUUCCAUGUGGAUUAAUUAUUCACUUUUCCAAAAGAUAUUUUCAUACAGGAGGGAAAACUAACACCAAAGGCGAUAGUGCGUCUGUUGCGAGCUUUUUGACCGACGGUGCUUUCAUGGUGUACAUAGUGUCAUCAUUUAUAUUUAUAACAUUUGGUCCGGUUGAACUAUGGUUCGUUGUGGACGUGGCUGUUCUAAAGGUCUUUGGGGUUCAGUCAGGCGCAAUUUUGCUUUCUCUUAAUGGAAUAUUCGGAUUUGCUGGCAGAAUUAUAUCUAUCGUAUUUUUGAAAUUUUAUCCAAAGGCUCGGCCGGAAAUACACAUGUGUUACGCGUUUACAAUUUGGGCUGUAGCUCACCUCGGUGUUAUUGCCUCGCCAGUAUACUGGGGAAUGUUCUUGUCGAUGAUACUCAGUAGUUUAACAGCGGCUAUAGUGACAGUAUUUAUACCAUCUUUGCAACUGGAGCUCCGAGGGUCAGAAAGCUUUCCAACGACAGUUGCUAUAACUUAUAUGAUAAUGGGUGUAGGGGAUAUAAUAGGGGGAUAUCUGGGUGGUUAUAGCGUUAAUGUAACAGGGUCGUAUAAUCUAUUUUUUUACAUAGCUGCCGUAGGUACUCUGUACUGCGGAAUUAGUAUGCUUAUUAUUUAUGUGAUCUUCAAAAGGAGAAAACGUCAUUCCGGGCAGUAUCAAGAACUAUCAUGAUCAAGACGCUUCGAAUAUUGCUUUCGUUGACAUGGGUCAUGCAAAAUCCACUCGAGUCGCGUAUAGCAUCCCAAAUAAAGCUAAUGUUAUAACAAUUAUACUGUAUCUGACCUAAACGAACACAUCACCUCAACGUCCCUUAUGUUUUAUAUAGCUUACAGUGAUUGAAAACAAAGAAUCUGUCUGUCUGGCUGUCUGUCUGUCUGUUAUUUUAGUAUCAUUUUGCACUGAAAAUGAUUGAAAAUGGUAAUUUUUCAUGACAAUUACAUAAAUUCUAUGGACAUUCAUUUCAAAGUAUUUUGUAUGCCAAAGACGAAAGAAAAAUUGCACGCUGUGUAAGUUGCAAUACUUUUCUUCAAAAGUGAAAAAAUAACCACAGCGGUGUCGGACACUACUUAGUUCGUCGAUGAAUUCUGAUCUCGCAAAAAUAUACAGCUAGUGAACUUGUAGCCUUUCCGCGGCCGUAACGUAGAAUCUACUGUAGAUGAGGUCCAAAUAAUGUCUAGCGUAUGUCAGGAUGCUGGUUAUAUGACCCAGGGAAGUGCCUACGCCAUGGUUUGGGUCCACUCGCUAAGGUGACUAUGUCUUAGACUAGCUGACA
rnacentral:misc_RNA from 1 species